ensembl:lncRNA
UCUUCAUAAAAACAUUUUAGAAACAUUACAUGCCUUUUUUAAUCCCAUCAGACAAAUUAGUUUGCUCUAAAGGUCUGUGGCUUUUAUUCUCUCUCAUCCUUUAUUUUUGGUUAUCUUUCUUAAGCAGGGUAAAAAGACAAAUCAUAGAACAGCUCAAUUUACUGUGACUUGAAUUGAGUAUUUAAAGGUAAAAAUUGCUUACCCAGUCCUGCUGAGAUAGCACUGCAGAAGAAUUUGGUUUCUCAAAAGUGCAAGAUAUCCCCUGCUUUACUCCACACUGGUGUUUGAGUGGAAAAAAUGCACUGUGUCAGGGAGCAAAGAGUGAUAAAAAGCAGAAGGCUUCAAAGCCAGCCAGAUUGUUGAUGGAAUGUUUUCCUCCUAGAUGAACAUGAGAACAUUGUACCUACAGAAGGGUUGCCCCAGGAGCCAGCUAGCAGCAUGGGGGUGGAAGCUCCACAUGUUAAACACAGUCUGCAGCUAUGUUGCUCCCAGACCCUUUGACGCUGCUGCUGGGUGACAGAGAAACAAGCCUUCAUCAGAUGACAAGUAGUCUGCAGGCUGUAGAACUAGUGAAGGGAAACUCCCCUACAAAAAUCAAGUCUGUGCAAGAACUACAGUUUUAAAAGGUGCAUAGGAGAUGAAGAUGAUCUUACGAGGGGAAGAUAAGUAUGUAUAUGCAGUUGAAUUGGGAUUAGGACAAUAAGAAGAAACCUGUGCAAGUUUUUCUCUUUUGAAAUUGGGUGUCAAAACACUUGGAGCUUUCACCAGAUCUUUGUGGACAAGAAGCACCGCAUGCACAUCUGCUGAAGUGCACGGCUCCAUCUGUUAGCAGUCCUGGCAGAGGGGUCACGAGUUGGAAGUCCAGAAGGAUUUGGUGAUCAUCUCCCUUUUGUGAAGGCAGUCCAGUCCAGUCAGGUGAUGUUUGGGUUAUCCGAAAUUACUUCAUCUAUUGAAUUUUAAUGUUUUGAUUAAUGUGUGAUGAAAUAUCUUGAAUUAUGAAAGGAAGUUAAGAAAUAGAUAUUUUCAAGGAGGGGUAGAGAUUUUUUUUUUUACUCCAUAUUCUUGCAUACAUUGAUUUCUAUACCUCAUUAUUCUUGUGCCUGUAUAAUUAGGUGUGACAAUCAACAGCAGUUAUUCUUGAAGGAAAGUCGGCAUAACCAAAAAGUCAGGGUUUUGAAGCCUCACUCAAAUUCGGCAGCAUUUCUGCUAUGUGUAGGUUUUAUUUUAUUUUAUUUAAUGUAAAACGGCCAUGAGAAACAUUUCUCAAGUUAUGAAGCAGUAAUCCAGGCUAGUUUUUUAAAGUUUAGUGCCACAAGGUGAUGUAGGUACCAAAAUGCACCACAGGACUGUCCCUGGUUAUUGUGGGUCCCUUCCACCUCCAAGGAAUCCAUGAUUCCACUCAAUGAUUUGGCCUUCAGGCACUGGGCAUUUGUGAUCUCUGCCCAUAAGACACUCAUGGUAUCUUGCACGAGGAACGGUCCCAGUGUGUGCAGUGAGAAUUCUGAGGAAGGACCGCUGCUUCCUGAGGUGGUAGCAGAGGCAUGGCGCAGCCCUGGGGAAGGCUGUUGCUGGGUCUGGGAGCGUGACUUGGAACUGGCGGCGGCGCCCCCAUCCCCUGCCCCCGUCAG